CCUACGGGAGGCAGCAGUGAGGAAUAUUGGUCAAUGGGCGCGAGCCUGAACCAGCCAAGCAGCGUGAAGGAUGACUGCCCUACGGGUUGUAAACUUCUUUUAUAAAGGAAUAAAGUGAGGCACGUGUGCCUUUUUGUAUGUACUUUAUGAAUAAGGAUCGGCUAACUCCGUGCCAGCAGCCGCGGUAAUACGGAGGAUCCGAGCGUUAUCCGGAUUUAUUGGGUUUAAAGGGAGCGUAGAUGGGUUGUUAAGUCAGUGGUGAAAGUUUGAGGCUCAACCGUAAAAUUGCAAUUGAUACUGGCCGGCUUGAGUGCAGUUGAGGUAGGCGGAAUUCGUGGUGUAGCGGUGAAAUGCUUAGAUAUCACGAAGAACACCGAUUGCGAAGGCAGCUUACUAAACUGCCACUGACAUUGAUGCUCGAAAGUGUGGGGAGCAAACAGGAUUAGAUACCCGAGUAGUC
rnacentral:rRNA from 1 species